rnacentral:rRNA from 1 species
UACGUAGGGAGCAAGCGUUGUUCGGAUUUACUGGGCGUAAAGGGCGCGUAGGCGGCAGAUUAAGUCAGCUGUGAAAUCUCCGAGCUUAACUCGGAACUGUCAGCUGAUACUGUUUUGCUAGAGUGCGGAAGGGGCAAUCGGAAUUCUUGGUGUAGCGGUGAAAUGCGUAGAUAUCAAGAGGAACACCUGAGGUGAAGACGGGUUGCUGGGCUGACACUGACGCUGAGGCGCGAAAGCCAGGGGAGCAAACGGG